GACGAACGCUGGCGGCGUGCUUAACACAUGCAAGUCGAACGAAGUGGCGAACAGGUGAGUAAUACGUGGGUAACCUGCCCUCCUUUUUGGGAUAAGCCUUGGAUACGUGGUCUAGUACCAAAUAAAGGGGGAUGGGCUCGCGGCCUAUCAGCUUGUUGGUGGGGUGAUGGCCUACCAAGGCGGUGACGGGUAGCCGGCCUGAGAGGCUGACCGGGAAUAGUGGGAGGGAUAUACGGCCCAGAGUGACACGGGUGGGGGCAGUGGGGGAUUGUGCACAAUGUUGGAAAGCCUAAUGCAGCGAAGUCGAGUGGGGGUUGAGGGCUUGAGGGUUGUAAAUCUAUGUCGCUAGCGAAUGGGUAGGUGGCGAAGAAGCGACGGCUAACUACGUGCCAGCAGCCGCGGUAAUAC
rnacentral:rRNA from 1 species